rnacentral:rRNA from 1 species
GACGAACGCUGGCGGCGUGCCUAAUACAUGCAAGUAGGACGCAGUUGCGAACGGGUGAGUAACGCGUAGGUAACUACCUAUUAGUGGGGGAUGACUAUUGGAAACGAUAGCUAAUACCGCAUACUAGUAGAUGGACCUGCGUUGUAUUAGCUAGUAGGUAGGGUAAUGGCCUACCUAGGCAACGAUACAUAGCCGAGCCGGGAGGGUGAUCGGCCACACGUGGACUGAGACACGGCCCAGACUCCGACGGGAGGCAGGAGUAGGGAAUUUUUGGAAAUGGGGGGAACCCUGACCGAGCAACGGCGCGUGAGUGAAGAAGGUUUUCGGAUCGGAAAGCUCUGUUGUUAAGGAAGCGGUACUUAACCAGAAAGGGACGGCUAACUACGUGCCAGCAGCCGCGGUAAUUC